UACGUAGGGAGCAAGCGUUGUCCGGAAUCAUUGGGCGUAAAGCGCGCGUAGGCGGCUCAGUAAGUCGGGUGUGAAACCUCCAGGCUCAACCUGGAGACGCCACCUGAUACUGCUGUGGCUAGAGUCCGGUAGGGGAGCGUGGAAUUCCUGGUGUAGCGGUGAAAUGCGCAGAUAUCAGGAGGAACACCAGCGGCGAAGGCGGCGCUCUGGGCCGGAACUGACGCUGAGGAGCGAAAGCGUGGGUAGCAAACAGG
rnacentral:rRNA from 1 species